rnacentral:lncRNA from 1 species
GCUAUGAUCUGAUCAAUCGCUUCAAGAUCCCCAUUUCUGCCCUGGUGUCCUUUGUGGAAGCUCUGGAGGUUGGAUACAGUAAACACAAAAAUCCUUAUCACAACCUAAUGCAUGCUGCAGAUGUGACACAAACAGUCCAUUACCUCCUCUUCAAGACAAGCAUAAUAGUACGUACAGGAGUUGGCAUCCUUAAUACAUCAUGAGAUUACAGUAGUUUUUGUUUGGUAAGGAGGAUAUCAUGAUCCACACAGAACCCACUUGUACUGUAGAAAAGAUGUAGUUUGCAAUGUCUGUGCUAAUGCAAGUAGACAUUUGGGAUUAUUUAGAAGAAUUUGGGUGAGGAUUUGGGUAACUGUUUUAAUUUAUUGGAGAGAGGAUGAGUGAAAAACCCAAGCUGAAUUCUCCCCUCUGCCACCGAUCUCCUGGCUGAGUCUAUCAAGUCAGUUUGUUGAAAUUAUACUUCACUUUCUGUGAAGAAACAAAUCUCCUAAGCUUUCUUCACACUUAAAGGAGCAAGGCAGUACCUCCAAAAGACAAUUCAUUCCAAUUAUCUGGGGAUGACAGGAGCCAUCUUCUUCUGGACAUGCUGAUUUGCAGCCAGUUUUUACAGCAAAACCAGCUGAACUAGCUUAUAAUAAAACUGAGCACAGUGGAAGUUUGACAACAAUGACAGGAGUGGACAGAAGGCUUAAAUCAACAGAAAUAAGUCCAUUCCCACAAUGGCUGUCAAAAUAAACAACAGAAAUAUGUUUGAAGUUGUACUAGACAGCUUAAAGAAAGAUAGAUUCUGGAGUGGCUAAGAAACAUUACCGUUUGGGUUCAGAUGGUGGCUUAGGAAAGUUAUUAACCCAUUCAUUUGAUAGAGUAGGUGAUAGUGAACACUUACUAACUGGAGGUUCUAUUUCUUAUUCUCUUCCUCUUUUACUCCAAGUUACUUCCAAAACCAGAAAAUGGAAUGAAACUUUUAGUUUAACCCAGUUUGGCACCUCUUUGUAACCUAUUGCUCACCAUUUUCUAGCAAUGUCCCUGAGACUGGUUGGGCACUGUCUUCUGUGUCGCCUUGGCCCUGGUGGAGGUGGAUCCACUUCCAUCAGUUGCUGUUCGUCUGGAGGUGCAUCCACCUCCAUUGGCUCUUCUUCAUUUUGAGGUUCAUCCACCUCCAUAGGCUCAACUGGAUCUUCAUCUACCUCCAUAGGCUCUUCUUUAAAUCUCCUCCCCAUCAGCAUUAGCUUCUUCUGUGGAGGAGGAUCCAUUACUAUUCCUUAGAAGGAGCACUUGUCUUUGGCUUCUGGUUUUCUCCUCUCUGCAACCAGUAUGGCAGUUGCACAGCUUGGAACGCCAGGUGGUAACAUCAGCAGGCCGUGAUGUGGUAACUCUAACAGUGUUCCAUGGCAACCCAGACAUGGCAGUGCUUGGAGUCGGGGCCUAUGGCCUGAGAGUUGCCCCAGUUUUGAAGGAGAAGGAAGGAUAGGGGGUACUGAGGGACCCUUUUCUGGGAAGGGCUCACCUGUGCCAUUUUGCUAGAGAGAACUUGUGGCCCUUGGGCAAAGGGCCCCUGGAGACUCCAGCCCCUUCUUCACCUUGUGCCUCAAAUCCAUUUGUACUGAUGAGUGGCAGGAUCAUGCCAGGAGAGUCCUCUACCUGGCAGCUGCCUGGCUGCCUGCAAGCAGAGCCACCCUGUUGCCCAAGAGUAGUGGAGUGGGGACAAAGUGUACUAACAAUCCUCAGGCAGCCUAGGGACAUGCAAUCAAUAAAGAAUUGCUGAAUUUCAAAGGUGAUGUGAGUUCUCUUUUCCUGUCCUUCACCCUUGCCCCUGGAGCAUGAAGGAAGUAGCAUUUCUGCUGCUCUAGUGUGGGCUUGGUGUCUCUCAUCCUUCCACCACUGAACACCUAUGAGCACCUCCUCAGCCCUGAUGGAUAUGGAUUCAUUUCUCUUUAGCUCGAGCUGGAUUCACCUCUCCAGGCUCUUCAUCAUCCUCAUCCACCUCUAUCAGCUCCUCAUCAAAUCUCCUCCCCAUGAGUUGCUCUGUGACUGUUGUGCCAGUAAGAGUGUGGGGGGGUGCUUGAGGACCCCUUUUCUGGGAAUGGCUCAUUUGUGCCUUUUUGCUUUCCAGAUAGAAUGUCUGGACUGGUACAGAGACGUGUGGAGGGUUCAGCCCCCUCCUCAUCCCAUAUUUGUGUUCUCCUCACCAAGAUGGUGCCAAGAGUGUCCUCGGGGGUCAAGUGGACUCCACUAACACCCAGCUGCCUGGCUAACUGAAGUGCAGCCACCCUGGUGCCUGGCAGUAGUGAUGAGGGGACAAAGCAUAACACUCUGUAGGCAGCCAAGGGAAAGGUAGUCAAAGAAUCAUAGAAUAUCCUGAGUUCCUUCAGCCUGCCCUGGGAAGCCAUGUGGACUCCCAUCAGGCUUUUCUUCUCUAUGCUGAAAAAAUCAAGGCACCUCAGUCACUUCUCAUAUGUCUUCCCUUCUAGAUCCUUCUCCAUCUUUGUAGCCCUUCAUUAGACAUAUGUCCUUCUAAUAUCGUGACACUCACAUCAGUGCUGGCUACAGAAGACAGAGGGUGAUAGUUCAAGGAAGUAGUCUCCUACACGUAAUGUCUUUGCUGAUUCAUUCUGAAUGUCAUCACUGAACAAUGUCUAAUAUAAGUCCCUACUUGGUCAGCUGACUAGCUUAGUCCGAGUCCUGAUGGCUUAGAAUUUCUGUCUUCUUCUCAUCAUGGUAUGCUUUUGAAGAAAGUAAUUUGUUCAUUUUUUUAUUGUAUUUCUUUUUUUUUUAAUGUCUGUAGAAUUUAUCUAUAUAGUCCGUAUAUAUAUGUUUCGGAUAUUAUCAUUUUUAGUGCUGAGAAUUUUUUUAGAAAACUGUUAUACUCAAUUAAGUAGGUGCAAAAAAGAUAUUAAAGAGAGACCUAUAUUGUGUUGACCAACGAUGAACAUAAAAACAUCUUCCAAUUAAUGUACAGGCAGCUUAUUUGACUGCCUCUGUUCAUAGCAGCUUACUUAAAAGAACCCACAGAACAGUUCUGUACUGGGUUACUGAGGGAAGGUGUCAGAGCAAGAGCAUUCUGUCCUCUUUAAGUACCAGGAUUUUUUUUGCAGCUGACUGACAGCUGCCUUGCUUGUGAGCUCUUGAAGAGUGUUAGCAGUGCUAA